GAUACUUGCUCAUCCGAUACUGAAUUCUACACCAAACGUACCCAUCUACUACUAACCACACUAUGGUCAAGUACGGGUGUGAAGCGGGAGGAAAAUGUCAAGACGCCUGCAGCUAUGGAUUUUCCUCACAGGCCGAAAUUGAUUUCAUCGUGGACAAGCACAACGAGUUACGAGCCAAAGUAGCCAAUUGUGAAGAGGAUCAAGCUUUUAAUAGCACCAAAGGGCAACCUGCGCCAAGAACAUGAAGAAACUGAAAUGGAGUGAUGAGCUGGCCAAAGUGGCUCAAAGAUGGGCUCAAGCUUGUGAUGGCUAUCAUGACGAGGACGGUGACAGGUAGUGCCCGACUUUCCUGACGUGGGACAAAAUUGGGCUCGCUAUGAGGUGCCAGGUAUCGAAUAUCUUCAGGGAUCACAUGACCUUCUAAUUCAAAUUUGGUACAACGAGGUCAACGAUUUGAACCCUGAGGCUGUUUCAUCCUUCCACAAGGCUGGGACUUCUCGUCCAGGCAAGCCUACUGGUCAUUACACCCAAAUGGUUUGGGCUGCUACCACCCACGUGGGUUGUGGUUCCAUCUUCUACAAGUACCCCAAAGACGACAGCACAUGGUUUGGAAAGGUGCUUGUGUGCAACUAUGGACCUGCCGGGAAUUUUUUGGGAGAUUCAAUCUAUGAUAUUGCAUCCGAUCCAAGUGAAGUUGGCACAGGCUGCACGGGAGAAGUAGAGAAUGGGCUUGUUGUCUAAGUGAUCGGACGCCAGUUUCAUAUUUCUA